AUUGAACGCUGGCGGCAGGCUUAACACAUGCAAGUCGAGCGGGGGAAGGUAGCUUGCUACCGGACCUAGCGGCGGACGGGUGAGUAAUGCUUAGGAAUCUGCCUAUUAGUGGGGGACAACAUCUCGAAAGGGAUGCUAAUACCGCAUACGUCCUACGGGAGAAAGCAGGGGAUCUUCGGACCUUGCGCUAAUAGAUGAGCCUAAGUCGGAUUAGUUAGUUGGUGGGGUAAAGGCCUACCAAGGCGACGAUCUGUAGCGGGUCUGAGAGGAUGAUCCGCCACACUGGGACUGAGACACGGCCCAGACUCCUACGGGAGGCAGCAGUGGGGAAUAUUGGACAAUGGGGGGAACCCUGAUCCAGCCAUGCCGCGUGUGUGAAGAAGGCCUUAUGGUUGUAGAGCACUUUAAGCGAGGAGGAGGCUACUUUAGUUAAUACCUAGAGAUAGUGGACGUUACUCGCAGAAUAAGCACCGGCUAACUCUGUGCCAGCAGCCGCCGUAA
rnacentral:rRNA from 1 species